UACGUAGGGUGCGAGCGUUAAUCGGAAUUACUGGGCGUAAAGCGUGCGCAGGCGGUUUUGUAAGCCAGAUGUGAAAUCCCCGGGCUUAACCUGGGAAUGGCAUUUGGGACUGCAAGGCUGGAGUUUGGCAGAGGAGACUGGAAUUCCUGGUGUAGCAGUGAAAUGCGUAGAUAUCAGGAGGAAUACCGAUGGCGAAGGCAGGUCUCUGGGCUGAAACUGACGCUCAUGACACGAAAGCGUGGGGAGCAAACAGG
rnacentral:rRNA from 1 species